CGUCCCUGGGCCUCCGGCUGAGCACAGCUUUCGGCCUCAGAGCGUUCUGCUGCUGGGAAAGCAAAGCCUCUUCUCCCACAUUCGAAGGAAUUUGAUAUUCAAUCAAUGAAGAUUAACUCGCCCAAGGUUCACUGAAGAAUGGACAGCCAUGUAGAAAUGUGACAGAAUAUGAUCUAACAGUCAAAGACUGAGUGUGGGAGCCCUGCGAGGCCUGUUUGUUCAGAUUCUUCUUGGCCUCUCUGCGUUGCAUUCCCUCCUCCCUGGUAUAGGGCAGGACCCCUUCUGGAAUGAGGAUCUUAUGACCUACUAUCAGACAAGGUAGGU